rnacentral:rRNA from 1 species
CUAGGGGGGGGGGAAUUCCCAGUGAGAGGGAAAUUGUAGAUAUGGAGGAACCCAGAGGGAAGGCGGCCCUGACUAGAUUGACGUCAGGUGGAAAGGUGGGAGCAAACAGGAUUAGAUACCCUGGUAUCCACGCCGUAAACGAUGAGUGCUAGUGUGGGAUUUCGAUUUCGGUGACGCAGUAACGCAUUAAGCAUCCGCCUGGGGAGUACGGUCGCAAGAUUAAAACUCAAAGGAAUUGACGGGGCCGCACAACGGUGGACAUGUGGUUAUUAAGCAACCCAACUUACCUACCCUUGACAUCCCAUCGCGGUUUCCAAAAUGGAUUCCUUCAUUAGGCUGGAUCGGUGACAGGUGCUGCAUGCUGUCUCACUCUGUCUGAAUGUUGGGUUAAGUCCCCAACGAGCGCAACCCUCAUCCUUAUUGCCAUCACUUUGGGUGGGCACUCUAAGGAAACUGCCGGGGCAACCGAGGAAGGGGGAUGACUCAAUCCUCUGGCCCUUACGGGUAGGGUCCCUGCUACAUGGCAGGCAAUGGGUAUCCCAAAAACUGUCUCUUCAAUUGUCCUCUGCAACUCAGGGCUAAGGGGAAUCCUAAACGGAUCGGCAUCCCGU